GGCUCGUUGGUCUAGGGGUAUGAUUCUUGCUUAGGGUGAGAGAGGUCCACGGUUCAAAUCGCAGACGACUCC